rnacentral:lncRNA from 1 species
GUGCCUGUUUCUUGCACUAACCCAAGCUUUUUUCACAUCACAUAGGGCAGCUGGGUCUAUCCCACUAGGCCCACGGCCUUCUAGCUUUUCCUUUUGUCAAAGCUCUUAAUGGUCAUCACUCACUCAAACUUUUUUAAAAGACAUGAUUUUGUUCUUCCUCCUGGGGAUAUUUAAAAACCAGUUAAGCCACUUGCACAUUUUUUUCCACUUAUGCAAUUUUUGAAUGCUGGUUAGACAUGAUUUUAAAUGCAGCAAGUCAACCAAAGUAUCAACAAUGCAAGGAGCAGGAGUUUUCCUGGUAGGCCACGGAAGGGCCUAGUGGCAGGAGACAGAAAAGAGGGGACAGGUUUGGGUCACGGUCCUGGGGGCAGCUGAGGAUCAGGUUGCAAAUGCCCCAGAUGUGCCUGAGAGAGCGGCAGCAGCCAGCAUGGAGGGGAGCAGUGGCGUUCUCAGCACCAGUGUGUUAAGGUGGGGCUCACAAUUUCUUGGGGCCUUCCCUGGGUUACAGCAGCGAGUUUGGAGGGGGCUUUUCUCUUCCCAAAUCUGAGGUCAGACAACAGUGCUUAUGUGACCUACCCUUGGAGGGCAGAGAUGGGCCAUUCUCCAUGGGCCCCCAGGGCUGGAAUGGAGUUCCAAACUGCAGAAGACCAUGCCCCUAGAGGCUCCAGAGACCGUGAACUUUUUCAAUGACACGUUUGAAAAUCUAUUACAAAUUAAUAUCAGUACCUGAUUUUUUGAAGAUGAAGCUGACAGGUAUUAAAUGAAAACGGAAGCA